rnacentral:lncRNA from 1 species
AGAUGAUCAUACUAGAUUGUGUUGGGCUUACUUGCUAAAAGAAAAGUCUGAUGUCCAAACGGUAUUCGUAAACUUUCAUUCCAUGAUCCAAACACAAUUUCAAACACAAAUACAAAUCUUGUGACGUGAUAAUGGGCACAAAAUAUUUUAACACUACCUUCAAAGAAUUUCUCCAAAAACAAGGUAUAAUUUAUCAAAGUUCCAACAAAUUGGGAUUGCUGAAUGAAAAAAUAGAUACCUCCUUGAGGUAGUUCCUACCUUAACGUUCACCACAAAUAUACCGAAAUAUUUUUGGAGAGAUUCCAUCUUAACAUCGGCAUAUCUCAUGAAAAGACAGCUAAGCCGAGUCCUCUCGUUCAAAUCACCUCUCCGCAUAUUCGGAUGUACAGCCUUUGUCCAUGUACACCCUCAUCAACGGAGUAAACUUGAUCUUCGUACACUCAAAUGUGUUCUCAUCGGAUACUCGGCUACCCAAUAAGGCUACAAAUGUUAUGAUCCA